GUCGACAGCCAUACCACCCUGAACACACCCGAUCUCUUCUGAUCUCAGAAGUUAAGCAGGGUCGGGCCUGGUUUGUACUUGGAUGGGAGAAAACCAGAGUAUAACUGUGGCAUAUGUGACA
rnacentral:rRNA from 1 species